UCGAGAAUCUUCGGCAAUGGGCGCCAGCCUGACCGAGCGACGCCGCGUGGAGGACGAAGGCCUUCGGGUUGUAAACUCCUGUCGAGGGGGAACUGAUCCCUGGAGGAAGCACGGGCUAAGUUCGUGCCAGCAGCCGCGGUAAGACGAACCGUGCGAACGUUAUUCGGAAUCACUGGGCUUAAAGCGCGUGUAGGCGGAUGGCCGCGUCGAGUGUGAAAGCCCCCGGCUCAACCAGGGGAUGGGCGUCGAAACGGGCCGUCUGGAGGGGCGUAGGGAGAGCUGGAACUCACGGUGGAGCGGUGAAAUGCGUUGAGAUCGUGAGGAACGCCCGCGGCGAAAGCGAGCUCCUGGACGCCUGCUGACGCUGAGACGCGAAAGCCAGGGGA
rnacentral:rRNA from 1 species